UACGGGAGCAGCAGUGGGGAAUAUUGCACAAUGGGCGAAAGCCUGAUGCAGCUAUGCCGCGUGUAUGAAGAAGGCCUUAGGGUUGUAAAGUACUUUCAUCGGGGAGGAAAAAACAAAACUAAUAAUUUUAUUUCUUGACGUUACCCGAAAAAGAAGCACCGGCUAACUCCGUGCCAGCAGCCGCGGUAAUACGGAGGGUGCUAGCGUUAAUCAGAAUUACUGGGCGUAAAGAGCACGUAGGUGGUUUUUUAAGUCAGAUGUGAAAUCCCUGGGCUUAACCUAGGAACUGCAUUUUGAAACUGAAAUACUAGAGUAUCGUAGAGGGAGGUAGAAUUCUAGGUGUAGCGGUGAAAUGCGUAGAUAUCUGGAGGAAUACCUGUGGCGAAAGCGGCCUCCUAAACGAAUACUGACACUGAGGUGCGAAAGCGUGGGGAGCAAACAGGGAUUAGAUACC
rnacentral:rRNA from 1 species